CCUACGGGUGGCUGCAGUGAGGAAUAUUGGUCAAUGGGCGAGAGCCUGAACCAGCCAAGUCGCGUGAGGGAAGACGGUCCUAUGGAUUGUAAACCUCUUUUGCCGGGGAGCAAAACGCGGUACGCGUACCGCAUCGAGAGUACCCGGAGAAAAAGCAUCGGCUAACUCCGUGCCAGCAGCCGCGGUAAUACGGAGGCGGCGAGCGUUAUCCGGAUUUAUGGGGUUAAAGGGGUGCGCAGGCGGUCUGUUAAGUCAGCGGUCAAAGCCCGGGGCUCAACCCCGGACCGCCGUUGAAACUGGCAGGCUCGAGUGGGAGAGAAGUAGGCGGAAUGCGCGGUGUAGCGGUGAAAUGCAUAGAUAUCGCGCAGAACUCCGAUUGCGAAGGCAGCAUGCCGGCUCCAAACUGACGCUGAGGCACGAAAGCGUGGGUAUCGAACAGGAUUAGAUACCCUGGUAGUC
rnacentral:rRNA from 1 species